GAUGAACGCUGGCGGCGUGCUUAAUCCAUGCAAGUCGAACGAAUCGGCGCAAGCCGGUUAGUGGCGGACGGGUGCGUAACACGUGGGUGACCUAUCCUGAAGUGGGGAAUAACUGUCCGAAAGGGCAGCUAAUACCGCAUGUGGUCCGGCAGCAGAUGCUGGAUUAAAGGCGAGAGUCGCUUCAGGAGGGGCCCGCGGCCUAUCAGCUAGUUGGUGGGGUAAGAGCCUACCAAGGCGAAGACGGGUAGCUGGUCUGAGAGGAUGAUCAGCCACACUGGCACUGAAAUACGGGCCAGACUCCUACGGGAGGCAGCAGGAAGGAAUUUUGGACAGUGGGGGAAACCCUGAUCCAGCAACGCCGCGUGGGCGAUGAAGGUCUUCGGAUCGUAAAGCCCUUUUCUGUGGGAAGAGGCAGGACGGUACCACAGGAAUAAGUCUCGGCUAACUACGUGCCAGCAGCCGCGGUAAAACGUAGGAGGCAAGCGUUAUCCGGAUUUACUGGGCGUAAAGCGCAUGCAGGCGGCAGCGCAAGUUGGGCGUGAAAUCUCUCGGCUUAACCGGGAGGGGUCGUCCAAUACUGUGCAGCUUGGGUGCAGGAGAGGGAAGCGGAAUUUCCAGUGUAGCGGUAAUAUGCGCAGAUAUUGGAAAGAACACCAGUGGCGAAGGCGGCUUCCUGGCCUGUAACCGACGCUAAGAUGCGAAAGCUAGGGGAGCGAACGGGAUUAGAUACCCCGGUAGUCCUAGCUGUAAACGAUGGAUACUAGGUGUGAGUGGUAUUGACCCCACUCGUGCCGAAGCCAACGCGUUAAGUAUCCCGCCUGGGGAGUACGACCGCAAGGUUA
rnacentral:rRNA from 1 species